rnacentral:misc_RNA from 1 species
GAUGAAGAACGUAGCGAAAUGCGAUACGUAAUGUGAAUUGCAGAAUUCAGUGAAUCAUCGAGUCUUUGAACGCACAUUGCGCCCCCUGGUAUUCCGGGGGGCAUGCCUGUUCGAGCGUCAUUGCUGCCCUCAAGCACGGCUUGUGUGUUGGGCCUCCGUCCUCCUCCCGGGGGACGGGCCCGAAAGGCAGCGGCGGCACCGCGUCCGGUCCUCGAGCGUAUGGGGCUUCGUCACCCGCUCUUGUAGGCCCGGCCGGCGCUUGCCGACACAUCAAUCUUUUUUCCAGGUUGACCUCGGAUCAGGUAGGGAUACCCGCUGAACUUAAGCAUAUCAAUAAGCGGAGGA